AUCCAGUUGACGAGUCCCAAAUAGGACGAAAUGUGCAUCCUGGAU
rfam:Trichobilharzia regenti genome assembly, scaffold: TRE_scaffold0017055